UUUGAAAUGACUGACAAGUCAGCUCUAACCUUGCUUGAUAGUAUGGAUAUAGCAGAAAAUGUGGAAAUCGUUGAAAGUAAUAAAAAUAACGAAGCGAACAACAUUAUGGACGAAAUAUGCUCCAAUGUAAACAUUUCACUGAGAAACAGCGGGGUUGCUGCAAAAGACGAAUCAACCAUAAAAGGAAUACCUAAAGAAUAUGAAAGAGUAAAACCAGAUCCUCGAGUCAUGAGGGUAUUAUUACGUCAUUUAUACGAUACGACUGGUCAGCUGUAUGAAGAUGUACCACCAAGAUUUAAAACAUCACAUAUUGGACUGGCCCUGUAUCUAAAACACUGCUUACAGCACUCAAAUUUGUUAAAGUAAACAAUGACAGUCAACAUAAACAAAAGUACAUGGACUUUUCUGCUUGUUUAACAUUGCUCUAGAUUAUGUAUCCACAAUAUCAAAAACAAUUGUGGUUUAUUUUUCUUUUAGAAAAAAUUAUAACCUUGUUAACCUUUACUUGUAAUUUCUCAAAUGUACAAUAAGACGGAAAUAUAUCAAGGCUCAUUAUAGUAACCAUCUUUACUCUGCGAUAAGAUGACUAUGUCAUCUGCAUAAAGUAUAAUAAAAGUUUAAUAAAAAAAAAAAAAAAAA